GACGAACGCUGGCGGCGCGCCUAACACAUGCAAGUCGAACGGAAUCAAGAGGAGCUUGCUUUUCUUGGUUUAGUGGCGAACGGGUGAGUAACGCGUGAGUAACCUGCCCUGGAGUGGGGGACAACAGUUGGAAACGACUGCUAAUACCGCAUAAGCCCACGGUACCGCAUGGUACUGAGGGAAAAGGAUUUAUUCGCUUCAGGAUGGACUCGCGUCCAAUUAGCUAGUUGGUGAGGUAACGGCCCACCAAGGCGACGAUUGGUAGCCGGACUGAGAGGUUGAACGGCCACAUUGGGACUGAGACACGGCCCAGACUCCUACGGGAGGCAGCAGUGGGGGAUAUUGCACAAUGGGGGAAACCCUGAUGCAGCGACGCCGCGUGGAGGAAGAAGGUUUUCGGAUUGUAAACUCCUGUCGUUAGGGACGAUAAUGACGGUACCUACAAGAAAGCACCGGCUAACUCCGUGCCAGCAGCCGCCGUAA
rnacentral:rRNA from 1 species